rnacentral:rRNA from 1 species
GUAGGGAAUAUUGGGCAAUGGGCGAAAGCCUGACCCAGCAAUGCCUUGUGGGUGAUGAAGCUUUUCGGAGUGUAAAACCCUUUUAUGGGUGAAGAAAUGGAUAAAAAAUAAUACAUUUUAUCUUUGACGGUACCCCAUGAAUAAGCCCCGGCUAACUCCGUGCCAGCAGCCGCGGUAAUACGGAGGGGGCAAGCGUUGUUCGGAAUCACUGGGCGUAAAGGGCGUGUAGGCGGUCUUGUAGGUCAGAUGUGAAAUCCCCAAGCUCAACUUGGGAAUUGCGUUUGAAACCGCGAGACUUGAGGCUGGGAGAGGAAAGUGGAAUUCCUGGUGUAGCGGUGAAAUGCGUAGAUAUCAGGAGGAACACCCGUGGCGAAGGCGGCUUUCUGGACCAGUUCUGACGCUUAGGCGCGAAAGCGUGGGGAGCAAACGGGAUUAGAAACCCCUGUAGUCC